CUGAGAUAACAGCAAUUUCCCUUCCGUGUAACUAAUGUUAUAUUUUGUAGUUGUAAUUGCACAUACGCACAGACGAUAAUUUAUUUUAGACAAUGAGGAAAUUGACAUACAUCCUCUUGACCCAAAACAAGACUAAAUAAUGAAUGCAUCAAUCCCUGGGGAAGUAGGUUUGGUUAACGGUGUAUAUUCUGCCUUAAAUCUUAGACCUAGAUUAACACAUGAUUUAUUUAUUUUGUGACUGUUUGUAUGAUUUAUUAACAUUUAUUUAAGAAUAAGUGAAGUCCCUGGGAAAUUCAACAUUUUUAAUAACACUUUGAUAGUAAAUAAGGAAACAUACUGUGCUCCUGAAAAGUACUUAUAAUUCAAAUGGUGUGUAAGAUUGUUUUAUUGAGGUGAAAUUUAUAAUCUGUCAUUCCCUUCCCCCUCCCCCUCCCCCAUAUUCUCCCUGUCUCUAAUUUCAGACUAUUACUGUUGGCGACGUUGCAGAUCUGAAGUACCAUCACUGUUGGUGACUCCUUGCAGACUGUAGUUUGAGAACGUUGUGGUGACCUUGAUAGUGCCCUGCUGUUGAGGAACUCUCUGGAUUCUUUCUCUCUAUCAAAACCGCAUUCUCUCUUUCCUAUCACUUGUUUCCACUCAAUCUGAUUAUAUGGCCACUCUGUCUAUCCUAUCCAAUCUACCUUGCUCUGUCUAAUUUUUGGCAUAUUCUAUCUUUUGUGUCCCUCAAGUUACCAGUACUUGAUCUCUGCCACCAGGUUACAAGUACUUGGUGGUACGCUCUAUCUAUUUUUGGUAUUUCUGUCUUGCUAUCCCACUCUACAAGUGAAAAGUGCUUGAUCUAUCCCACUCUAUCUAUAAGAACCGCAAACCGAUUUGACGUUUGAAAAAACGCAAAAAAACGCUUGGCACUGAUUUUUGAAACAACUCUUGACAUUUUGGCUUUCAAGUUACCAGUACUUGAUCUAUCUGUUGAAAAAGCAAAUCUAAGAGUCUCUCUGCUCUUACGCUCUCUCUCUCUGUCUCUGUCAAGUGAAAAGUGCUUGAACUCAACAUUUAAUUGUAUCAUUGUCACAACACAUAAAUUGUUGUACUAAGUGGAUAGUUACAAAUAUAUAUAUACAAAGGUUAUACGUUUAUAAUUUCAAUCCAUAUUUAUUUUAUAAGAACUGUUGUUACUGAAUUUUGUUACCGUAAACGUAUCUAAUUCCUAAAGGCUGUUUUAAGUCAUAUUUGAUUUUUGCUGUAUUUAUUUACUUAACUAGUUAACAUAAUACGAUAUUGUAUUCAUUUUCUCUGAUAAACGUAAACACACCCCAGGUAUACAGUUCACACACUGUUUUGAUCAGAAAAUAAAGAGCUUUGUUAUUGUCUAACUUGUCAUAUACUGCAAUAAAACAACCAACUGAA